AAGACUACACUUUCAGGGAUCAUUUCUAUAGUUCCUUACUAGAGAGGUUUCUCUGAUGUGGAGAGCACCCGAAACGACGAGGAGGAGGCACCGUGUUUUCUCCUGAGCGUGAAGCUGGGACUGUUUUGUGCAACUGCCCAUCGCCAUUGAUGAUCAUUCUUCUCUCCCCUGGGAGAGUUAGAGGGCGAGAAUGCAGUCUGAGUGGU
ensembl:snoRNA U3 Small nucleolar RNA U3